UGGUGGGGUGACUUGUCUGCUUAAUUGCGAUAACGAACGGGACCUUAACCUGCUAAAUAGCCCGCAUUGCUCCGGCAGUGCGCUGGCUUCUUAGAGGGACUUUCGGCUCAAGCCGAAGGAAGUUUGAGGCAAUAACA
rnacentral:rRNA from 1 species